rnacentral:rRNA from 1 species
UACGUAGGCAGCGAGCGUUGUUCGGAGUUACUGGGCGUAAAGAGUGCGUAGGCGGUUUUCUAAGUUUGGUGUGAAAUCUCCCGGCUUAACUGGGAGGGUGCGCCGAAGACUGGAAGGCUUGAGUAUGGGAGAGGUAAGCGGAAUUCCUGGUGUAGCGGUGAAAUGCGUAGAUAUCAGGAGGAACACCUGCGGUGCAGACGGCUUACUGGACCAUCACUGACGCUGAGGCACGAAAGCGUGGGUAGCAAACAGG